rnacentral:tRNA from 1 species
UUUAUUAUAAAAUGCUAAAUUGCAAAUUUAGAGAUAUUAUGUUCAAAGCUUAGUUUUGUAG